rnacentral:rRNA from 1 species
UGGGGAAUAUUGCACAAUGGGCGCAAGCCUGAUGCAGCCAUGCCGCGUGUAUGAAGAAGGCCUUCGGGUUGUAAAGUACUUUCAGUCGGGAGGAAGGUGGUAAGGUUAAUAACCUUAUCAAUUGACGUUACCGACAGAAGAAGCACCGGCUAACUCCGUGCCAGCAGCCGCGGUAAUACGGAGGGUGCAAGCGUUAAUCGGAAUUACUGGGCGUAAAGCGCACGCAGGUGGUUGAUUGAGUCAGAUGUGAAAUCCCCGGGCUUAACCCGGGAAUUGCAUCUGAUACUGGUCAGCUAGAGUCUUGUAGAGGGGGGUAGAAUUCCAUGUGUAGCGGUGAAAUGCGUAGAGAUGUGGAGGAAUACCGGUGGCGAAGGCGGCCCCCUGGACAAAGACUGACGCUCAGGUGCGAAAGCGUGGGGAGCAAACAGG